CAGUGACACUUUGGGAUGUUGGCCACCAUCCCAGGGACUGCAGGGCCGCAGGAUUUAAACUGCAGGCUCUGUGGGGGCCAAGACAGCCAAAGAUUCAAAUGAAAUAGAACCCAGUGGUGCAACUCUGAGCCGGAAUCCAGACCACGGCCCGUCACCACCUCCAGAAAAGCAAGGCUUCCUACUUCUUGGGCCUCCCUGUGCUGUGGGCCCAGCAAGCCACACAUCAGGGAGUUGGUCCUGAGGAAUUGGUCCUGGCUAGACCCAAUCCUGCCUUAGCCAAGAGAGGGACGACCAACACCCAUGGGAAGGAAUUUGGAGGAGGGGCCAGGUUUGGGGGCAUCGCUAACCACCUCUUUUCAUCCAGGAAACUCCCAGUCCAGAGCAGUUGCCGUUGGACAGGAAGAGGGCUGCAGGCAUUGGGGUGGGGCAGGGGAGGAGGAUUGCAGACACCUGGGCUUUCGCUCUGACCUGGCUCUCACACUGCCUGCUCACACACUGCCUAGAUGCUGCUCUCACAGCCCUGACUGCUGCUGCCUGGAACCCUCUGUCUCCACUGCAGGUUGCCCUGCCCUCAUGUUUACAUCACGAACGUCCAUCAUAGGUAAUGGUCCAGCCCCAGGCCAGCGAUGUGCUCCGCUGACAACCUGCAGAGCAACCCUCCAAGGCCAUCUGCAGAAGCUGAUGGAAGAGAGGAUAUGGGACUGAAGGUCAAGAGUGGAAGAUGACUGGCCUGAGAAGGUAAAGGAUGGACUCGCAUUAACUGAGAAGGGGAAGACUGGAUGAAACAGAUUGGGAAGACGUAGACCAGAAUUUCCAUUCUGGACACCAUCAGAUCAACAGGUCCCUGGACGUCCAGAUGGAUUGUGAGAGAGGAAGCUCCCUGACUUACCACCACCCAGAGAGCACUGGUACUAUAGGAUUCAAAGGCAGAGGCCUGGAACUUUAUUUAAAAUUAUUCUGGGGACCAUGGAUUCACUUUCUUCCCAGGAUAAUGCUGAUGCCUAGUUACAUAAAACACUGUGUCCAACUCCAGGGGUUCAUGAAACACUCUGUGUUGUGUCUAUGGAUCGUUCUAACAUUUGGGGAGUCUGUAACAACUUUCCUAACGGCCCCUUCCAGCCCUACUCUGACCUUUCUGCCCCUACCCCAACCUGUGCCUGCGGCAGUGGAGGGAAGACUAGCUCCCAUUCAAGCCUUCGGCUCAUCUGCGCUGUUCUGUGCAUGUCGGUUCCUUCUUUGCACAGGGACUCAGGAGGGGGCUGAAGCUAUUCUCUGUAUGAUCCACACCUGGUGCAGAGCCUGCCUUCACGAGUUUCACAACUGAAACAUCUUUGUGAUUGAUUGUUGACCACAUAAUGGCCUCUCGGUGAGCAAAAGAAGGAAACGUCUACUUGGGCAGCAGGGAGAACAAUGGGUACAUUAACGAGCCUCAGAAAGGUUUGUGUGCAUUUGGGAACAAUGUUUAUUCAUAAUUUUAUAAGCCACUGUGUUGCCCACAGAUUUCAGUGCAUCAUUUAUUGAGAUUAGAUCUGAGCAAUGAUAUAUAAGAUGUGAGAAUUAGACCCGUGAGAAGGACAGCAGGGCUUCCUUGUACUAGGCUUCUGCCCCAAGGACAGCCUAGUUCAGGCCUCCUUCCAGGCCUGGGGCUGAGGCAUAAAGGUCAGGAGCCAUGGACAGUAGGAACUCCGCUGCCAGUGGAGGUGCCUCCAGCUCUCUGCCCUUUGCCACUGCUUACAGGAAGAUGCUCCAGCCAUACUCCUUGCCCCACAGGGCUCACGGGCUGUCCCUGCCCUGAUGCCUGGUGCCUCCUUUCCCCACUCAAGUUCUCACGGCUAUCAGAGUGCAGCCCCCUCCAAGAAGCCAAGUCGCUGCACCUACGUGACCUCUUCCUUCCUGCUGCCCAGGGCCCCGCCCAGAUCAUGCUUCAGCAAAUGGCCCUACAGAAGUAGAGUUUUCUUAGGGACUCUUUUGCAGAUAAUUAUCAACCAGCCUGUGUCAGCUAGUUUGCUCAGCCAUGGCCUUAGAUUCUAGGAAAAUGCUAGUCCUGAAAUAGGAUUACAAAGCACAGCAGAAUUUUGUUUAAAACCUCACCAACAGAUAUGUAAAUGGGUACAACCACUUUGGAGGAGUAUUUGGCAGUAUCGGCUAAAGCAGAAUGUGCCCUAUGACCAGGGCUGAGCUGCUCAGUGCUUAAUAACUGGCUCUGGGAGUGUGGUUCCAGCAUGACUACUGUUUGAUACAUUUGUUUAUGUUAAAGAGCAAGAUGAAAGGAAUGACUAGACACAUGUCAGAACUUCACUCAUUUGUCAAUGAUGUGAGCAACUUCUUCCCUGAAUUCAAUACAUCACCAUUUUCCAAUACUGGAGAAAUAUUUUCUCAAUCUCUUGUGCUAUUUACAAUGUUAUAGAGAUGACAGAUUUAUAAGUUUCAUCUGCAUUAUUAACAUUUUCUCUAUCACUUUCUUGAGUUUAAUGCUAGACAGUCAAUAAAAGAAUAAUCUGUUAAGCCCUGAUUUGUAACAUUUGCCAGUUUCCAUGGUGACUGCUUUCAUGUUACCAAUGUGGAUGGGUAUCACUGAAUAUGGAGAUGGGAAGAGAUGAGUAAUAUCACAUUAUAUGGUGUUCCUGCCAGACAGGUAUAAUAGACAUAAAUAACAUCAAGAACAACAAGAAUUCGAGGGAAGGAAGGUCAGAGUAGGGAAGAAUUUUGCAAACUCCUGACAAUCUAACAGCUGGCCUUCAUGACCCCAGAUAAGCCAGCUCCAACACAGCACUGCCUAGGUGGAUGCCUGACAGAAAUGUGUGCACCAAAAACACAAAGAGGAAUGUUCACAGGAACGUUACCCCAAACAUCCAAAAUGUCUCUUAGUGGUAGAUGGGAUAAAUACCAUAAGCUAAGCACUGAGAAUUGCUGCUACCCACUAUAACGUGACUGAAUCUCACAAAUACAAUGCUGAGUGAGAGUCUGGAUGCUAGGCUGCACCUGCCACCCGACUGCUUUUAUAUAAAGCUCAGGGACAAGUCCAAUGGGCUUAUGACACCACAAGAUAGCAGAGUGGAAACUUUGAGGAGGAGGGGCGGGAGAGUGACUGAUGGAGCAGGAGUGGGGCUUCCAGGUGCAAGUAAUGUGGAGGAUUUUUUUCUUGACUUGGGGGCCGAUUAUGUGAGGGUGUUCAUCUUGUGAUAACUCACCUAACUAUACAUAUAUUCACUGUAUCCUUUUCUACAUAUAUAUUAUGCAUCAAUAAAAAGUUUGGUUUAA